rnacentral:rRNA from 1 species
AUGUUUGUGUACACGCCUGAGGAUGGGGCUGCGGCCGAUCAGGCAGUUGGUGAGGUAACGGCUCACCAAACCUUUGACCGGUACGGGCCGUGAGAGCGGUAGCCCGGAGAUGGACACUGAGACAAGGGUCCAGGACCUACGGGUCGCAGCCGGUACGAAACCUCCACAAUGCACGCAAGUGCGAUGGGGUUACCUCGAGUGCCGCCUGAAGAAGGCGGCUUUUCCAUUGUGUAAUGAGCCGUGGGAAUAAGGGGGGGGCAAGACUGGUGUCAGCCGCCGCGGUAACACCAGCCCCCCGAGUGGUGGGGAUGUUUAUUUGGCCUAAAACGUCCGUAGCCAGCUAGGUAAAUCUCUCGUUAAAUCCAGCGUCCUAAGCGUUGGGCUGCGAGAGAGACUGCCAAGCUAGAGGGUGGGAGAGGUCAGCGGUAUUUCUGGGGUAGGGGCGAAAUCCAUUGAUCCCAGGAGGACCACCAGUGGCGAAGGCUGCUGACUAGAACACGCCUGACGGUGAGGGACGAAAGCUGGGGUAGCGAAUCGGAUUAGAUACCCGAGUAGUCCCAGCCGUAAACGAUGCAGGCUAGGUGUUGGGUUGGCCACGUGCCGACUCAGUGCCACAGGGAAGCCAUUAAGCCUGCUGCCUGGGGAGUACGGUCGCAAGGCUGAAACUUAAAGGAAUUGGCGGGAGAG